UGCAGGUCAAAGAACGGUUUCCAUCCUGGGCCAAAGCUCUCCUGGUUCUCCUGGUUCUUCUUGUGGUUUCUGGAGGUCUUUUAUUUCAUUUCCGGCACUAUUUCAUGUCAGUCCCCUGGGUGGGGGUGGAUUCAGGGGUGGAGUCUGUCCAGCUGAUCUGCAAAACCACAGUUUGUCUGCCUAAAGAGGCUA